GCACCGCUGACGAGUCCCACAUAGGACGAAACAGUCGGUCGAUGCAGUGU
rnacentral:hammerhead_ribozyme from 1 species